AUUGAACGCUGGCGGCAUGCCUUACACAUGCAAGUCGAACGGCAGCACGGGAGCAAUCCUGGUGGCGAGUGGCGAACGGGUGAGUAAUAUAUCGGAACGUGCCCAGUAGUGGGGGAUAACUGCUCGAAAGAGCAGCUAAUACCGCAUACGACCUGAGGGUGAAAGGGGGGGAUCGCAAGACCUCUCGCUAUUGGAGCGGCCGAUAUCAGAUUAGCUAGUUGGUGGGGUAAAGGCCUACCAAGGCAACGAUCUGUAGUUGGUCUGAGAGGACGACCAGCCACACUGGGACUGAGACACGGCCCAGACUCCUACGGGAGGCAGCAGUGGGUAAUUUUGGACAAUGGGCGCAAGCCUGAUCCAGCAAUGCCGCGUGCAGGAAGAAGGCCUUCGGGUUGUAAACUGCUUUUGUCAGGGAAGAAAUCCUCUAGGUUAAUACCCUUGGGGGGAUGACGGUACCUGAAGAAUAAGCACCGGCUAACUACGUGCCAGCAGCCGCAGUAAUAC
rnacentral:rRNA from 1 species